AGAAAAUCAAUUUGGUUUGUGCAUGUGUCAGUGCUGCACCAUGGUCCAGCGGGGAUUGACUGCAAUGCAUCAUGGGAGAGUAGCCCAUCACAGGCAAAGUAUGUGGCAGGAGAUGUCAACACACAGUGGGGAACAAAACCAAACUCAGAGGAAGAAAAGAAUAUGGUGUUUUACAAGAAAGUCCCGUUCAAGGCAACCUUGAUGAAUCCCGUGCAUAAGAGAUCAGACCUGAUGUCAGAGCUCAUAAGAGUCGGAAGCAUCAGUGAAGGACGAGCGGCGCGGCGCGUCUCUCACUGAUAAAUUGCAUAAUGGACACCUCGGCUGGUCUGGGCCUUUGGGACGCGGGUCAUCUUACAGUGGCCAGAUGCUGUUUCAGACACACGAAUGAAGACCACCGGUGACUCGGGAAUGUGUCUGAUCUUUCCGGACACGACAGCGCUCACGCCGUUUGGCUGAAUAAUGCAUUGCUCACACUUGAGUGAAGUGGAGCUUCAGCGAGACGAGGUCAGAUCUUCUGCCAGGGAUUUGGGAUCAUCUGCCAGCCGUGUGCUCUCAUUUAACAGUCGUCCUUACUAGUCAUUUACACCACUUUUUAAUGCUGUGAUAAAAUAGUAUUCUAGCUGCAUAGUAUGAUUGAUGAAACAUGUUUGUUUGUAUUUAUUUUUUUUUACAUUGUAAAUGCCUUUGUAUUAUGCUAUUAAUUUAUUUAUUUAAUGGUGUCAUAGUAAUACUAUGGCCUUUGGACAUGUACCAUGGUAAUACUGUGUUUUUGAAUAAUUAUAUAAAUACAUAUAAUUCAUAUGAAAGGUGCAAAGUAUUACAAUCUGAUUAUAUGACUAACACCACAGGGCUUUUCUUUAAAAGUUCUCUCUCUCUCUCUCUCUCUCUCUCUCUCACACACACACACACACACAAUCACACACACACACACACACACACACACACACACACACACACACACACACACACACACACACAGACACACACACACACACAAACUCCCUCAAUUCCUUAGUCUGUAUUUCAUUAUAUCCAUCCAAUCAAAUCUGUCAUGAGUUUUAUAUUUCAUAUUGUUUCAGUCUCAUUGUUUUGUAGAUCUGUUCAUCAUAAUUGCUUAUCCAGACUCAACACGAUGACGAUUCACUCCCUCUUCUGCAUUACAAGUGACAGUCAUCCAUCUAAUUCAUUUUUUUCUUCGUUCAUGUCUAAAAUUAGAAUGCAAGUCCUCACUUGACGUGUGCUGAACGCUCAUUUCCAGCUUUGUCGGUGCAGGAGGUGAGAGCUGUGCCAGUAAUUUCUCAAAGCAUCUUUUCAGAGCCUCUCACAGCAAAAAUAAGAUGCUUCUCAUGGUAAAGGUUGCAUAGAUCAGUGCAGCGCAAUCUGUUCAGCAGGUUUAGUGAUGAACAAGUAGAAGACCCUCACCUUUGGUUCUGAGGCUGACAGGCUGACCUUUGACCUUCUGCAACUGUGAAGCAGAGAGAAAGAGGGUUGCCAUCUGUUUCCAUACCAACCAGAGCUGCCUUCUUAGUAGCUCUGUUCCAGUGCCUAGUGAGUCGCCUAUGCAAACAGCAUUUAAAGGUGUACACCAGUCUGUGCUGCAAGCUCUCACCGGCCGCCGUUCCCUGUGUUGAUGAGCGUCCAUCAUGUUAACAACAGCAUUUAACGUCUCAUUGGACAAAGCAGGAGGAUGGAGCUCCUUUCAUCACGAUGGUCGCACAGAUUUUGGAGCUGAAAGAAGAGGUUGAUUUACUACCUUUGGUGGACUGUGGAAGACAGUCAAAGGUCAGACUCACAGCCUGUCAUUCAGUGUGUGUGCUGUUCUCUGUUCACGAUAGAGCUGCUUGUGAGUGCUUUCUCCAUCUAGAGACUACUUGUGGAUUGUUGUGAUGUUUUUAUCAGCUGUUUAGACUCUUAUUCCGACAGCACCCAUUCACUGCAGAGAGAAUUCAUUGAUGAGCAAGUGAUGUAAUGCUGAAUUUUUCCAAAUCUAUUCUGAUGAAGAAACAAACUCAUCUACAUCUUGAAUGGCCUGAGGAUGCUGAAGGAGAAGGACGAUGAUGCUUGGGAUGGGGGUGUUUCAGAUGGAUCUGGCCUUCCUAAUGCAUCAGUCUGCAUAGAUGUCUGUGAUGUUGCUAGCUCGUGGCCCGUGAUGGACUGUGCUGUCUUCACCAUCCUCUGUAGCCAUGCAGCCAGUGAGAAUACUCUGAAUGCAGCAUCUGUAGAUUGUCAGAAUUAGCGCUGACAUGCCAGACAUCAUGAGCUCAUGGGGAAAAGCAGCCUCCGCUGUGCUUUCUUGACCACAGUGCUAAAAUGGAGAUGCAGUUGCAUGCCGUUCUGCCAUCUUGAUGUGUCUGCGCACCUCCUCUACUGAAGAGACUGUCCGCAGGAAGUCAGACGCGUCUCAAAUUGUCUGGCCACAUGAAGUCAAGAUGAACCAGGAUUUACAAUCCUUUUUAUUUCCACACUGUGACAUGUUUCUGAGUGAAACACAAUAUUCAACAAGAACACAGUUUGGGAUAUGUUGACACAGUCUUACCACAAGAAGGAAGUCAUUUGAAACAUCAUGAGGAUUGACAGUGCAUGGCAGACUAUUGCUGAACUGUCAGUUUCAGGACCAUCUUCCAUAAAUCGCACAGAUUCUGCCCUUGAUCCACACGUUUGUGCCAUAACUUGUUCUUCCACAUCAGCAGCUGGAGCAGGAAGAGUGGUCCCCGAUGAAACCAUGGUAGUACAUCCUCUGCUGCAUCCGAGCAUGAGAUAUGAUGUGACAGAUGCCUGGUCACUGCUGGAAUUUGUGCUUGGCCAGACAAACAUGAGUCAAGCAAUUACUGUCACUUUGGAGGAUGAAUUAAACACAGAAGCAUAUGCACGUCGAAGGAGGAAAAUGGCUCCGUAGCUCCACAUUAGGAUGUGAUGGAGGAUACAGGGGUCACUCCGCAGAAGCUCCCUAUAGAUCCAUCAGUCCUGGACUCAUCGAUCAGCAGACGAUGGGAUGAGCUGAUCAGAGCUCGGGCCUUCAACACCAGCGCAAUCUGCAUGAGAUGACAAAACACACACAAUCUUCCUAAAGCAAGCUUCCAGAAAAUAUCCUCCCUGCUAUGCGUAAUCCGUGUUUCCAUAGCUAGCCUGUGCAUUUAUUUCUGUCCUGUCCUUUUUGAUUUGAGCGUGGAUUUACGAUCAAAGAGAUAAAUGACAAGCAAACGUGUAGUGUAAAAUUCAGAGCCUUUGCAGACUCUUGGAUGUGAUUUUGGAAAGAGAUGAGAGGAAAAGCAGUCUGUGUGUGUGGCAGCCGGUCCCAGAACAGUGUCCGUAAUCUCCGGUGAAUGUUCAGCUGUGUGUGCAUUUCUACUUUGUCUUUAGAAAAAAAACAUUUGAUAGGAUAACAAUGCAGUUUUCCUCUGAAACCUCCAAAGUACACAGCACCAAUCCUAUGGAUAGUUUUGGAUAUAUAAUAAGCGUUUUGUGUUCUCAAUCUGUCACAAAUCUAAUUUCUCUUUCAGCUAUUUUUUUUUUCCACAUCUCUUGACUGUUCCUUUCCCUCUUUUAUUCAAUUUAACUCAAAGCUGUAUUUAGAUUAAACAGGACAGGAGUGUCUGCUAAAUGUAGAUUGAGCCAUGGAUAUCAUGAACAAAAUACUAACUGAGAAUACAGGUACAUCCAUUAAAGGAAG
ensembl:lncRNA